rnacentral:lncRNA from 1 species
AAACAAUUGAUUUGCACCUGGGGCCACCAUCUGUGUGUAUUUGCACAACCUCCCCAUAGCUGCAUGGGUUUUCUCUGAGUACUCUAGUUUGCUCUCUCAUUCCAAAGUCAUGCACAUUAGGUUAAUUGGCAUGUCUACAUGGACUCAGUGUGAGUGAAUGUGAGCAUGGGUGUGAGUGUGCUCUGCCAUGAGAGAUUGUCCUGUUCAGGGCUGGUUCCCACCUCACUCCGUGAGCUGCUGGGAUGGGCUCUGGCCACCCAUGACCAUGAACUGGAAAUAAGCAGGUAUGGACAAGGUUCUGACCCUUAUUAUUGGAACUCAAAUCCAGAUGGAGUUUGUUGGGACUUCACAUCAUUGGAAGGUGAAUAGAAAAGUAUGUCUUAAGAAUUUCACCAUGUUUUGGAAGAAUUGCAGCAAGAAAAAAAGAACUCCUUUGUUUCCACCCCAUUUCUUUUAAGGAAAACCUGGAAUAUCUGAGGGUGCAAGCUGAGAAAAGUCUGCUUAUCUGUUCCCUACUCUGGCAAUCAAAAAGGAUCCAAGUCUACUGUUCUCUUCUCCUGGCACUCUUAACUUGCACACAUUGCAACCUUUUAUGGCAAAGUAAUGGUCAAGCUAUCCUAACAAGGACGAGCCCUUAUUAAAUAAUUCACUGUGGUUGGGAAAUGGUGAGGAAGCCAUCUUCUUUUGUCUUCUUUUCUCUGAAAAUAAAAUUUUGUCUAAUUUUGUAUUAAGGACAUUUGGGCUUCACUUUAUUACAUUCUCUACUUUCUUUAAUAGCUCGAAGCUCAUGACAGUACAUGUCUGGUCUUGCAAAACAAGAUGAAUUUGUUAAAUUAAACUUUUAAAAAAAAUCA